UACCCUCGAUGUUCGUGUAGGUUGACUUUCGCUACCCGAACAUAUAGUGCUUGCUCUGGACGACGAGCGUCGUCAGUUGGUGGAUGCAACCGUGAUUUACAGGCCGAGGUAGACGAGCUUAGGCAGAUGGUCGGCGCUCAGGGUGAGCGGAUUGCCGAACUUGAGGAGGUGCUGGAGGGUGAGGUAGCCACAUCUGCAGUGGUUAAUGAGGAGUUUCGGGAUACUAGGGCUCGACUUACUAGGCUAGGACGGGAUGUCCGUACUCGGGCUUUCGAGAUCUUGGUUGAUGCUACUAGUUUGGUUGAGGACGCUACUGAGGCGAUUCCUGACGAUGAGGAGGAGGAUCCGGAGGAGGAUCUCGAGGAGGAGGUUCCUCCUGAUAGCCCCGCUGUGGACUAGGAUCUUGGUCGUUGACCCUUUUGACUUUUGACUGGUAUAGUUAGGACUAGUUAGGGUGACGCGAGUGCUGAGGCCAUUGUAUUUUGCAUGCUUGUGUGGCCUACUUUUGGGCACUU
rnacentral:lncRNA from 1 species